GAUGAACGCUGGCGGCGUGCCUAAUACAUGCAAGUCGAGCGAACAGAUGAGGAGCUUGCUCCUCUGACGUUAGCGGCGGACGGGUGAGUAACACGUGGAUAACCUACCUAUAAGACUGGGAUAACUUCGGGAAACCGGAGCUAAUACCGGAGAAUAUAUUGAACCGCAUGGUUCAAUAGUGAAAGACGGUUUUGCUGUCACUUAUAGAUGGAUCCGCGCCGCAUUAGCUAGUUGGUAAGGUAACGGCUUACCAAGGCAACGAGGCGUAGCCGACCUGAGAGGGUGGUCGGCCACACUGGAACUGAGACACGGUCCAGACUCCUACGGGAGGCAGCAGUAGGGAAUCUUCCGCAAUGGGCGAAAGCCUGACGGAGCAACGCCGCGUGAGUGAUGAAGGUCUUCGGAUCGUAAAACUCUGUUAUUAGGGAAGAACAAAUGUGUAAGUAACUAUGCACGUCUUGACGGUACCUAAUCAGAAAGCCACGGCUAACUACGUG
rnacentral:rRNA from 1 species